CAAAGGGUAGUUUAAUUAGAAGAUUCCGGUUUUGGGGACCAGAGAUGAAGGUUCGAGUCCUUCUCUUUUGA
rnacentral:tRNA from 1 species